GCUUACGGCCAUACCAACCUGGCUAUGCCUGAUUUCGUCUGAUCUCGGAAGCUAAGCAGGUUUGGGCCAGGUUAGUACUUGGAUGGGAGACCGCAUGGGAAUACCAGGUGCUGUAAGCU
rnacentral:rRNA from 1 species